rnacentral:rRNA from 1 species
GACGAACGCUGGCGGCGUGCUUAACACAUGCAAGUCGAACGGUAAGGCCCUUCGGGGUACACGAGUGGCGAACGGGUGAGUAACACGUGGGUGAUCUGCCCUGCACUUCGGGAUAAGCCUGGGAAACUGGGUCUAAUACCGGCUAGGGCCACUGCCUGCAUGGGUGGUGGUGGAAAGCUUUUGUGGUGUGGGAUGGGCCCGCGGCCUAUCAGCUUGUUGGUGGGGUGAUGGCCUACCAAGGCGACGACGGGUAGCCGGCCUGAGAGGGUGACCGGCCACACUGGGACUGAGAUACGGCCCAGACUCCUACGGGAGGCAGCAGUGGGGAAUAUUGCACAAUGGGCGCAAGCCUGAUGCAGCGACGCCGCGUGAGGGAUGACGGCCUUCGGGUUGUAAACCUCUUUCAGCACCGACGAAGCGCAAGUGACGGUAGGUGCAGAAGAAGGACCGGCCAACUACGUGCCAGCCGCCGCAGUAA